CCAGCCCCUGAGCCCCAGCCCAUCGAGCCCCGCAGGAGAGUGUCUAAGCCCUUCAUGAAGAAGAAUGACCCCAAGAAUGAGGCUCUGGCCAAGCUGGGGAUGAUGAAUCUUCAGUCUCCCAAGUCGCCACCCCCUGGGCCACCAGAGAAGA